GACGAACCGUGCAAACGUUUGUUCGGAAUCACUGGGCUUAAAGGGCGCGUAGGCGGCUCAUCAAGUCGGGGGUGAAAUACUUCAGCUUAACUGGAGAAGUGCCUUCGAUACUGGUGGGCUUGAGGGAGGUAGGGGUCUUUGGAACUUCUGGUGGAGCGGUGAAAUGCGUUGAUAUCAGAAGGAACGCCGGUGGCGAAAGCGAAGGACGUGGACCUCUCUGACGCGUGAGGCGCGAAAGCUAGGGGAG
rnacentral:rRNA from 1 species